rnacentral:rRNA from 1 species
AUGAAGCCAUCGGCCCUGGAAAAGGCACGACGUUCCCAACCUUUCUCACAAAGUUAUGAUAGUUUGCCGAAACACCUCGAGCAGUGCUUUGUAUAUUAUAGUUUAUUCCAAAAAGGUUAUCGUAUUGAUUCAAAUAGACUGAUCUGGAUGUGGAUAGCUCAGGGCCUUGUUCAUCCAGAAGGAAAUAACAGUAGAAGAUUGGAAGAUAUUGGAAGGAGCUAUUUCAAUGAUAUGUUAGUUCGAUCAUUUUUCCAAGUGCUUUGCUGCGGAGGUCAAACAUAUUACACUAUGCAUGAUUCAAUGAAUGACCUCGCACUUCAUGUUUCCCAUGGCGAAUGCUUUAGGAUUGACCAUGGUAGCAUUGGGGUGUUACCACAUCAUAUUACGCAUUUGUCUGUGUCUGCCGAACAAUUGGGAGAUCUUGUGAAAUAUGAUGGUCUUGGAAGAUUGAGGACAUUUAUAAUUCUGAAUGAUUCUUGGUUCUGCUCCAAAGACUCUCUGAGUCAUGAUAUACUCGAUAAACUCAAGUGUGUCCGGGUGUUGGAUGUAAGCGGAUGCUGCUUUGGAAGCUUGCCUGAAGCUGUCAAUCAUCUGAGGCACCUGCGUUAUCUAGCCAUCCGACGCACUUAUUCCCCACUGCCCACAACAAUCUCCAGACUCCAUCAUCUACAAUCCUUGUUUGUGUUGUAUCAUUCAUGUUACUCUGCGAGGAUAUCUUGCUCAAACGAGAGGACACAUCUGAAAUAUUCAAGGAGGGAAGUGAAAAAUACUGGAGGUCAUUUCAGCCUUCCUGAAGGCAUUAGCAGGCUCAUUAACUUGGUGCAUGUCGAUGUAGAGAAGGCUUACACUCUCAUGUUAUCAGGUAUACGUCAACUUUUGUGCGUUGAGGGUUCAGUAGAAUUCCUUGUUGACAAGGAAGAGCAAAGUUUGGUCCGACUGAAGGAUCUCAACCAGAUCGGGGGAGAGCUUUCUGUUAGGUUUCUGGAGAAUGUUAAAAGCAGCGAGGAUGCUGCUAAGUCUCGUCUAGACUUGAAGGAGCACAUCUCUAAGUUGGAGCUACAAUGGGAAUCAUGUGAUGGUGCUCAUGAUAUGGACAAGGGCUUUGAGGUGCUUGAUGUAUUAAAGCCACACCGCCAUCUUCACGAGCUAACUAUUAGUGGGUACCCAGGUGUCAAGUCUCCUUCUUGGCUAGAGUCUGAUUGGCUGAGAAGAUUGAAGUUGAUCUGUGUGCGAGAUUGCAAUAGAUGGGAGGUCCUUCCACCUUUAGGGGACCUUCCCUUUCUCAGUACUCUUGAAGUGCGGCGAAUGGAAGAAAUAAAAGCACUCGGUCAGGAGUUCUUUGGCCAUGCUGGAUUCCCUUCUUUGCAAACAUUGUUACUAGAGCGCUUACCCAAACCGGAGUGGUGCCUUGUGGACGAUGAUAAAGUGCUACAGAAUCUCAGACAUCUCUCUGUAGCUGGCUGUCCACGGUUAAGAGCAUAUCCCACCCAUCCUUGUACACUCAGACAUAUAGCUGUACUUGACAAGGAAGUAAUCAAUAUUAAGCUUCAGAUGGACAGUUUUGAACUAUCAAGAUCAUUUUGUCACGUGGUAUCAACCUCCUUCCAUGUCUUGCGCUCUCAUCACCUAGUGUCUAUAGAAUAUAUGGACAUCUAUGUUACCAGUUUGGUACAAAUGCCCACGACAGUCUUUCAAAAUAUGAAAUCACUCAAAAAGUUGAAAAUAUUUGGCAUUGAUAAGCAGAAUGCUUUCUUAGUGAUUACCACACUCUUGGGUGAGAACGAAUGUCCUGUGCUUACUUUGUCACUUAAGGACCUAGUACUAAUGGAUUGCUACCUGCAACCAUCCUCUUUCUCCAAGUUAUUGAAUAACCUCUCAUCUCUUGAAAGAAUAUGUCUAUUCGACUGUGGCUCUCUUGAGAUAACGGGUCUACCGGUAAGUCUGCACCACUUGAGGAUGCUGAAACAGUUGAACAUUUCUAAUUGUCAUUGGAUAUCAUCCAUUGAGGGAUCAGAAUCACUAUUGUCCCUUGAAGUGAUGAAGAUAUUCUGUUGUUAUGGGCUGAAAUCCGUGCCGUAUUUAGAUGACAUGCCAUGUCUUCAGAAACUAGAGUUAUUGGGGUGCCCUCAAGUUAUGCAACUGCCUAAAGCAGGCCAUCAGACAACACUGAAAGAGCUGGAAGUACGCUUUUUUGACGGGCUAUCAUCUCUGCGACAGUUGUGUGACCUUGUUUCCCUUGUGAAGCUGUCGAUUGUUGAUUGUUCUAAUUUAUUGUGGCUUCCUGAUCUGGAUGGUUUUUAUUCGCUUCGGUGUCUCUCGAUUGAUCAGUGCCCCAGGCUGAUGUCACUGCCACGGAGUGGUCUUCCUGUAUCACUUGAAACAUUUUUCCUUUCUGGAUGCCAUCAAGCACUGGAGGAGCAGUUUCAGCGGAAGGAAGGUCCAGAUUAUAAUAAGUUUGCCGCCCUUCCAGGAUGCAAGUGGGAGAACCAUUAA